GGUCUCGUGGUGAAACGGAUAUCACAUCGGUCUUCGGAACCGUGGUUCUAGGUUCGAAUCCUAGCGAGACCGCCA
rnacentral:tRNA from 3 species